UAGGGAAUCUUCCGCAAUGGGCGAAAGCCUGACGGAGCAACGCCGCGUGAGUGAUGAAGGUCUUCGGAUCGUAAAACUCUGUUAUUAGGGAAGAACAAAUGUGUAAGUAACUAUGCACGUCUUGACGGUACCUAAUCAGAAAGCCACGGCUAACUACGUGCCAGCAGCCGCGGUAAUACGUAGGUGGCAAGCGUUAUCCGGAAUUAUUGGGCGUAAAGCGCGCGUAGGCGGUUUUUUAAGUCUGAUGUAAAAGCCCACGGCUCAACCGUGGAGGGUCAUUGGAAACUGGAAAACUUGAGUGCAGAAGAGGAAAGUGGAAUUCCAUGUGUAGCGGUGAAAUGCGCAGAGAUAUGGAGGAACACCAGUGGCGAAGGCGACUUUCUGGUCUGUAACUGACGCUGAUGUGCGAAAGCGUGGGGAUCAAACAGG
rnacentral:rRNA from 1 species